GACAGAGGUCCCAAGCGUUAGGCGGAAUCACUGGGCUUAAAGCGUGUGUAGGCGGAUUUGUAAGUACCUUGUGAAAUCCCACGGCUCAACCGUGGAACUGCUUGGUAUACUGCUUAUCUUGGGCCAUCUAGGGGCGAGCGGAACAAACGGUGGAGCGGUGAAAUGCGUAGAUAUGCGGAGGAACACCGAUGGCGAAGGCAAUCCCCUGGGCCUGCACUGACGCUCAUGCACGAAAGCGUGGGGAGCAAACAGG
rnacentral:rRNA from 1 species